UACGAAGGGGGCUAGCGUUGCUCGGAAUCACUGGGCGUAAAGCGCACGUAGGCGGCUUCUUAAGUCAGGGGUGAAAUCCUGGAGCUCAACUCCAGAACUGCCUUUGAUACUGGGAAUCUCGAGUCCGGGAGAGGUGAGUGGAACUGCGAGUGUAGAGGUGAAAUUCGUAGAUAUUCGCAAGAACACCAGUGGCGAAGGCGGCGCACUGGCCCGGUACUGACGCUGAGGUGCGAAAGCGUGGGGAGCAAACAGG
rnacentral:rRNA from 1 species